GAUGAACGCUGGCGGCGUGCCUAAUACAUGCAAGUCGAGCGAACGGACGAGAAGCUUGCUUCUCUGAUGUUAGCGGCGGACGGGUGAGUAACACGUGGAUAACCUACCUAUAAGACUGGGAUAACUUCGGGAAACCGGAGCUAAUACCGGAUAAUAUUUUGAACCGCAUGGUUCAAAAGUGAAAGACGGUCUUGCUGUCACUUAUAGAUGGAUCCGCGCUGCAUUAGCUAGUUGGUAAGGUAACGGCUUACCAAGGCAACGAUGCAUAGCCGACCUGAGAGGGUGAUCGGCCACACUGGAACUGAGACACGGUCCAGACUCCUACGGGAGGCAGCAGUAGGGAAUCUUCCGCAAUGGGCGAAAGCCUGACGGAGCAACGCCGCGUGAGUGAUGAAGGUCUUCGGAUCGUAAAACUCUGUUAUUAGGGAAGAACAUAUGUGUAAGUAACUGUGCACAUCUUGACGGUACCUAAUCAGAAAGCCACGGCUAACUACGUGCCAGCAGCCGCGGUAAUACGUAGGUGGCAAGCGUUAUCCGGAAUUAUUGGGCGUAAAGCGCGCGUAGGCGGUUUUUUAAGUCUGAUGUGAAAGCCCACGGCUCAACCGUGGAGGGUCAUUGGAAACUGGAAAACUUGAGUGCAGAAGAGGAAAGUGGAAUUCCAUGUGCAGCGGUGAAAUGCGCAGAGAUAUGGAGGAACACCAGUGGCGAAGGCGACUUUCUGGUCUGUAACUGACGCUGAUGUGCGAAAGCGUGGGGAUCAAACAGGAUUAGAUACCCUGGUAGUCCACGCCGUAAACGAUGAGUGCUAAGUGUUAGGGGGUUUCCGCCCCUUAGUGCUGCAGCUAACGCAUUAAGCACUCCGCCUGGGGAGUACGACCGCAAGGUUGAAACUCAAAGGAAUUGACGGGGACCCGCACAAGCGGUGGAGCAUGUGGUUUAAUUCGAAGCAACGCGAAGAACCUUACCAAAUCUUGACAUCCUUUGACAACUCUAGAGAUAGAGCCUUCCCCUUCGGGGGACAAAGUGACAGGUGGUGCAUGGUUGUCGUCAGCUCGUGUCGUGAGAUGUUGGGUUAAGUCCCGCAACGAGCGCAACCCUUAAGCUUAGUUGCCAUCAUUAAGUUGGGCACUCUAAGUUGACUGCCGGUGACAAACCGGAGGAAGGUGGGGAUGACGUCAAAUCAUCAUGCCCCUUAUGAUUUGGGCUACACACGUGCUACAAUGGACAAUACAAAGGGCAGCGAAACCGCGAGGUCAAGCAAAUCCCAUAAAGUUGUUCUCAGUUCGGAUUGUAGUCUGCAACUCGACUACAUGAAGCUGGAAUCGCUAGUAAUCGUAGAUCAGCAUGCUACGGUGAAUACGUUCCCGGGUCU
rnacentral:rRNA from 1 species